AGGACGAACGCUGGCGGCGUGCCUAAUGCAUGCAAGUCGCACGCAGGGAGCUUGCUCCCUGAGUGGCGCACGGCUGAGGAUCACGUGGGAACAUGCCUCCUUGGUGGGGGACAACACCGCGAAAGCGGUGCUAAUCCCGCAUACGCUCUUGCAAAAGAGAAAGCGCAACGCGCAGGGAGAGUCGGCCCGCGGCCCAUCAGGUCGUUGGUGGGUAAUGGCCUACCAAGCCUAUGACGGGUAGCUGGUCUGUGAGGACAGACAGCCAGACGUGGGACUGAGACACCGGCCCAGACCUCCGUACGGGAGCAGCAGCAAGGUAUUUUCGACAAGUGGGACG
rnacentral:rRNA from 1 species